CUACGGGGGGCUCCAGUGAGGAAUAUUGCACAAUGGGGGAAACCCUGAUGCAGCAACGCCGCGUGGAGGAUGACGCAUUUCGGUGUGUAAACUCCUUUUAUGAGUCAAGAAAAUGACGGUAGCUCAUGAAUAAGCACCGGCUAACUCCGUGCCAGCAGCCGCGGUAAUACGGAGGGUGCAAGCGUUACUCGGAAUCACUGGGCGUAAAGGACGCUUAGGCGGGAUGUCAAGUCAGGUGUGAAAUCCUAUGGCUCAACCAUAGAACUGCACUUGAAACUGGCAACCUAGAGUAUGGGAGGGGGAGAUGGAAUUAGUGGUGUAGGGGUAAAAUCCGUAGAUAUCACUAGGAAUACCGAAAGCGAAGGCGAUCUCCUGGAACAUUACUGACGCUAAGGCGUGAAAGCGUGGGGAGCAAACAGGAUUAGAUACCCCGGUAGUC
rnacentral:rRNA from 1 species